rnacentral:rRNA from 1 species
GACGAACGCUGGCGGCGUGCUUAACACAUGCAAGUCGAACGGAAAGGCCCUGCUUUUGUGGGGUGCUCGAGUGGCGAACGGGUGAGUAACACGUGAGUAACCUGCCCUUGACUUUGGGAUAACUUCAGGAAACUGGGGCUAAUACCGGAUAGGAGCUCCUGCUGCAUGGUGGGGGUUGGAAAGUUUCGGCGGUUGGGGCUGGACUCGCGGCUUAUCAGCUUGUUGGUGGGGUAGUGGCUUACCAAGGCUUUGACGGGUAACCGGCCUGAGAGGGUGACCGGCCACAUUGGGACUGAGAUACGGCCCAGACUCCUACGGGAGGCAGCAGUGGGGAAUAUUGCACAAUGGGCGGAAGCCUGAUGCAGCAACGCCGCGUGCGGGAUGACGGCCUUCGGGUUGUAAACCGCUUUCGCCUGUGACGAAGCGUGAGUGACGGUAAUGGGUAAAGAAGCACCGGCUAACUACGUG